UACAGAGGUCUCAAGCGUUGUUCGGAUUCAUUGGGCGGAAAGGGUGUGUAGGUGGCGCCGUAAGUCGGGUGUGAAAUUUCGGAGCUUAACUCCGAAACUGCAUUCGAUACUGCGGUGCUUGAGGACUGGAGAGGAGACUGGAAUUCAUGGUGUAGCAGUGAAAUGCGUAGAGAUCAUGAGGAAGACCAGUGGCGAAGGCGGGUCUCUGGACAGUUCCUGACACUGAGACACGAAGGCCAGGGGAGCAAACGGG
rnacentral:rRNA from 1 species